rnacentral:rRNA from 1 species
CCGAAUAGGGGAGCCGAAGGGAAACCGAGUCUUAACUGGGCGUUAAGUUGCAGGGUAUAGACCCGAAACCCGGUGAUCUAGCCAUGGGCAGGUUGAAGGUUGGGUAACACUAACUGGAGGACCGAACCGACUAAUGUUGAAAAAUUAGCGGAUGACUUGUGGCUGGGGGUGAAAGGCCAAUCAAACCGGGAGAUAGCUGGUUCUCCCCGAAAGCUAUUUAGGUAGCGCCUCGUGAAUUCAUCUCCGGGGGUAGAGCACUGUUUCGGCAAGGGGGUCAUCCCGACUUACCAACCCGAUGCAAACUGCGAAUACCGGAGAAUGUUAUCACGGGAGACACACGGCGGGUGCUAACGUCCGUCGUGAAGAGGGAAACAACCCAGACCGCCAGCUAAGGUCCCAAAGUCAUGGUUAAGUGGGAAACGAUGUGGGAAGGCCCAGACAGCCAGGAUGUUGGCUUAGAAGCAGCCAUCAUUUAAAGAAAGCGUAAUAGCUCACUGGUCGAGUCGGCCUGCGCGGAAGAUGUAACGGGGCUAAACCAUGCACCGAAGCUGCGGCAGCGACACUGUGUGUUGUUGGGUAGGGGAGCGU